AUUGAACGCUGGCGGCAGGCCUAACACAUGCAAGUCGAACGGUAACAGGAAGCAGCUUGCUGCUUCGCUGACGAGUGGCGGACGGGUGAGUAAUGUCUGGGAAGCUGCCUGAUGGAGGGGGAUAACUACUGGAAACGGUAGCUAAUACCGCAUAAUGUCGCAAGACCAAAGAGGGGGACCUUCGGGCCUCUUGCCAUCGGAUGUGCCCAGAUGGGAUUAGCUUGUUGGUGGGGUAACGGCUCACCAAGGCGACGAUCCCUAGCUGGUCUGAGAGGAUGACCAGCCACACUGGAACUGAGACACGGUCCAGACUCCUACGGGAGGCAUCAGUGGGGAAUAUUGCACAAUGGGCGCAAGCCUGAUGCAGCCAUGCCGCGUGUAUGAAGAAGGCCUUCGGGUUGUAAAGUACUUUCAGCGGGGAGGAAGGGAGUAAAGUUAAUACCUUUGCUCAUUGACGUUACCCGCAGAAGAAGCACCGGCUAACUCCGCG
rnacentral:rRNA from 1 species